AAUCCAUGAUAUGGGCAGCAUCUUAAAAGGUCCUUGAACCUCUCCCAUGCAUCGUACAUGCUUUCAUCAUCAAACUGCACAAAAUAAUAUAUGUCAUUUCUAAGUUU
rnacentral:snoRNA from 1 species